rnacentral:rRNA from 1 species
ACGAACGCUGGCGGCACGCUUAACACAUGCACGUCGAACGAGAGAAGAGAAGCUUGCUUUUCUGAUCUAGUGGCGGACGGGUGAGUAACACGUGAGCAAUCUGCCUUUCAGAGGGGGAUACCGAUUGGAAACGAUCGUUAAUACCGCAUAACAUAAUUGAACCGCAUGAUUUGAUUAUCAAAGAUUUAUCGCUGAAAGAUGAGCUCGCGUCUGAUUAGCUAGUUGGUAAGGUAACGGCUUACCAAGGCGACGAUCAGUAGCCGGACUGAGAGGUUGAUCGGCCACAUUGGGACUGAGACACGGCCCAGACUCCUACGGGAGGCAGCAGUGGGGAAUAUUGCACAAUGGAGGAAACUCUGAUGCAGCGAUGCCGCGUGAGGGAAGAAGGUUUUAGGAUUGUAAACCUCUGUCUUCAGGGACGAAAAAAGACGGUACCUGAGGAGGAAGCUCCGGCUAACUACGUGCCAGCAGCCGCGGUAAUACGUAGGGAGCGAGCGUUGUCCGGAAUUACUGGGUGUAAAGGGAGCGUAGGCGGGAUCGCAAGUCAGAUGUGAAAACUAUGGGCUUAACCCAUAAACUGCAUUUGAAACUGUGGUUCUUGAGUGAAGUAGAGGUAAGCGGAAUUCCUAGUGUAGCGGUGAAAUGCGUAGAUAUUAGGAGGAACAUCAGUGGCGAAGGCGGCUUACUGGGCUUUAACUGACGCUGAGGCUCGAAAGCGUGGGGAGCAAACAGGAUUAGAUACCCUGGUAGUCCACGCCGUAAACGAUGAUUACUAGGUGUGGGGGGACUGACCCCUUCCGUGCCGCAGCAAACGCAAUAAGUAAUCCACCUGGGGAGUACGACCGCAAGGUUGAAACUCAAAGGAAUUGACGGGGGCCCGCACAAGCAGUGGAGUAUGUGGAUUAAUUCGAAGCAACGCGAAGAACCUUACCAGGUCUUGACAUCGUAUGCAUAGCUCAGAGAUGAGUGAAAUCUCUUCGGAGACAUAUAGACAGGUGGUGCAUGGUUGUCGUCAGCUCGUGUCGUGAGAUGUUGGGUUAAGUCCCGCAACGAGCGCAACCCUUAAGCUUAGUUGCCAUCAUUAAGUUGGGCACUCUAAGUUGACUGCCGGUGACAAACCGGAGGAAGGUGGGGAUGACGUCAAAUCAUCAUGCCCCUUAUGACCUGGGCCUCACACGUACUACAAUGGCUGUCAACAGAGGGAAGCAAAGCCGCGAGGUGGAGCGAACCCCUAAAAGCAGUCUUAGUUCGGAUUGUAGGCUGCAACCCGCCUACAUGAAGUCGGAAUUGCUAGUAAUCGCAGAUCAGCAUGCUGCGGUGAAUACGUUCCCGGGCCUUGUACACACCGCCCGUCACGCCAUGGGAGUCGGUAACACCCGAAGCCUGUAGUCUAACCGCAAGGAGGACGCAGUCGAAGGUGGGAUUGAUGACUGGGGUG